rnacentral:tRNA from 1 species
ACUUAAAUAGCUUAUACUUAGAGCAUGAUAUUGAAGAUAUUAAGGAAACAUAGUUGUUUUUAAGUA